GAGUAGUAAUAGGUAAGAUCUUUAAACUUAAAAGAUUUGGCGGUAUUUUAUCUUAUCAGAGGAACCUGUAGUGUAAUUGAUAAUCCACGACUUUGUAACUUUUAAUAUUUUACUUGUAUAUCGCUGUCAUAAAUGUAUUAAUAAAUUUAUUUUAUUCUCCUUAUGGGAUUUAUGUUAGGUCAAGGUGCAGUUUUUAGAGAUUUUAUGGGUUACAUUGUAAAAUGUAUGUUAGAGAAAAAGGAUUUGAAAGUAAACGUAUAGGGAAAUUAAAUGAAUAAAGUUUCUGAAAUAUG
rnacentral:rRNA from 1 species